GACGAAGGAUGCAAGCGUUAUCCGGAUUCAUUGGGUUUAAAGGGAGCGUAGGUGGCCUUAUAAGUCAGUGGUGAAAUCUCGAGGCUUAACCUCGAAAUUGCCAUUGAUACUGUAGGGCUUGAGUAUAGUUCCGUUGGCGGAAUAUGACAUGUAGUGGUGAAAUACAUAGAGAUGUCAUAGAACACCGAUUGCGAAGGCAGCUAACGAAACUAUAACUGACACUGAGGCUCGAAAGUGCGGGGAGUCAAACAG
rnacentral:rRNA from 1 species